GAGAUGAUAGUUUAUUGUAGAAUAGAAAGUUGUAGCCUUUCUGGUUUUGUCUUG
rnacentral:tRNA from 1 species